rnacentral:rRNA from 1 species
AUUGAACGCUGGCGGCAGGCCUAACACAUGCAAGUCGAACGAGAGGCGGACGGGUGAGUGAUGUCUGGGCACCUGGCUAAUGGAGGGGGAUAACUAGUGGAAAAGGUAGCUAAUACCGCAUAACAUCAGAUGUGCCCAGAUGGGAUUAGGUAGUUGGUGGGGUAACGGCGCACCAAGGCGACGAUCCCUAGCUGGUCUGAGAGGAUGACCGGCCACACGGGGACUGAGACGCGGUCCAGACUCCUACGGGAGGCAGCAGUGGGGAAUCUUGCACAAUGGGCGCAAGUCUGAGGCAGCAACGCCGCGUGAAUGAAGAAGGCCUUCGGGUUGUAAAGUACUGUCAGCGGGGAGGCGGUACCCGAACAAAAAGCACCGGCUAACUCCGUGCCAGCAGCCGCGGUAAUAC